GACGAACGCUGGCGGCGUGCUUAACACAUGCAAGUCGAACGAAGUGGCGAACGGGUGAGUAAUUCGUGGGUAACCUGCCCUCCUUUUUGGGAUAAGCCUUGGAAACGGGGCCUACUACCGAAUUAAGGGGGAUGUGUUCUCGGCCUAUCAGCUUGUUGGUGGGGUGAUGGCCUACCAAGGCGAUGACGGGUAGCCGGCCUGAGAGGAUGACCGGCCACAUUGGGACUGAGAUCCGGCCCAGACUCCUACGGGAGGCAGCAGUGGGGAAUAUUGCACAAUGGGCGAAAGCCUGAUCCAGCCAUGCCGCGUGUGUGAAGAAGGUCUUAGGAUUGUAAAGCACUUUCAGUUGGGAGGCGUUACCAAAAGAAUAAGCACCGGCUAACUUCGUGCCAGCCGCCGCGGUAAUAA
rnacentral:rRNA from 1 species